CGAUGAGAGAACUACCAUCCACAAAGAGGAUUCAGUCAGGGUUAGGGAGGGGUUGAUCGGAAACUCCUGGAUGUGGAGGGGUCAGCUCUUCCAGGAGUUGAGGGCAGGAAAGGGAGGGUUCUG
rnacentral:miRNA from 1 species